GAUGAACGCUGGCGGCGUGCCUAAUACAUGCAAGUCGAGCGAACAGAUAAGGAGCUUGCUCCUUUGACGUUAGCGGCGGACGGGUGAGUAACACGUGGGUAACCUACCUAUAAGACUGGGAUAACUUCGGGAAACCGGAGCUAAUACCGGAUAACAUUUGGAACCGCAUGGUUCUAAAGUGAAAGAUGGUUUUGCUGUCACUUAUAGACGGACCCGCGCCGUAUUAGCUAGUUGGUAAGGUAACGGCUUACCAAGGCGACGAUACGUAGCCGACCUGAGAGGGUGAUCGGCCACACUGGAACUGAGACACGGUCCAGACUCCUACGGGAGGCAGCAGUAGGGAAUCUUCCGCAAUGGGCGAAAGCCUGACGGAGCAACGCCGCGUGAGUGAUGAAGGGUUUCGGCUCGUAAAACUCUGUUAUUAGGGAAGAACAAACGUGUAAGUAACUGUGCACGUCUUGACGGUACCUAAUCAGAAAGCCACGGCUAACUACGUG
rnacentral:rRNA from 1 species